ensembl:snRNA U6 U6 spliceosomal RNA
AUGCUCGCUUUGGCCAGCACACGUACUAAACAUUCCAACAACACAGAGAAGAUUAGCAUAGCCCCUGUGCAAUGAUGACAUGCAAAUCUGUGAAGCAUUCCGUACUUUA